UACGUAGGGGGCUAGCGUUGUCCGGAUUUAUUGGGCGUAAAGAGCGUGUAGGCGGCCAGGUAGGUCUGCUGUGAAACUCGAGGCUCAACCUCGAGACGUCGGCGGAAACCAUCUGGCUAGAGUCCGGAAGAGGAGAGUGGAAUUCCUGGUGUAGCGGUGAAAUGCGCAGAUAUCAGGAAGAACACCCGUGGCGAAGGCGGCUCUCUGGGACGGUACUGACGCUGAGACGCGAAAGCAUGGGGAGCGAACAGG
rnacentral:rRNA from 1 species